rnacentral:misc_RNA from 1 species
GAUGAAGAACGUAGCGAAAUGCGAUAAGUAAUGUGAAUUGCAGAAUCCAGUGAAACAUCGAAUCUUUGAACGCACAUUGCGCCCGCCAGCAUUCUGGCGGGCAUGCCUGUUCGAGCGUCAUUUCAACCCUCGACCUCCCUUUGGGGAAGUCGGCGUUGGGGACCGGCAGCACACCGCCGGCCCUGAAAUGGAGUGGCGGCCCGUCCGCGGCGACCUCUGCGUAGUAAUCCAACUCGCACCGGAACCCCGACGCGGCCACGCCGUAAAACACCCAACUUCUGAACGUUGACCUCGAAUCAGGUAGGACUACCCGCUGAACUUAAGCAUAUCAAUAAGCGGAGGA